rnacentral:rRNA from 1 species
CGAGCACGCGCGUGUGGCAUAUCAAUAAGCGGAGGAAAAGAAACUAACAAGGAUUCCCUAGUAACGGCGAGCGAAGCGGGAAGAGCUCAAAUUUGAAAUCUUCAAGGUUCUACCUUGACGAAUUGUAGUUUAUAAGAAGUGUUUUCUGUUAGUGGAGUGGCAAAAGUUCUUUGGAAUAGGACAUCAUAGAGGGUGAGAAUCCCGUAUUUGGUCAUUCUUCUAGCUUUGUGAUACACUUUCAACGAGUCGGAUUGUUUGGGAAUGCAGUCCAAAAUGGGUGGUAAAUUUCAUCUAAAGCUAAAUAUUGGCGAGAGACCGAUAGCGAACAAGUACCGUGAGGGAAAGAUGAAAAGAACUUUGAAAAGAGAGUUAAACAGUACGUGAAAUUGUCAAAAGGGAAGCGUUUGACACCAGUGUUGUUUUUCCGAAAAUCAAUUACGAAUGUUUUAUUUUUGAGGAGUUAUGACUUCAUCGGCUUGCUCCUUUCUUUAUGAAACUUUCUUAAUGCACUUUUCGGUUAACAAGUCAACAUCAAUUUCUUUUGUUGUAAAAGGGUAUGAGGAAGGUGGCUUUCUUUUCGGAGAAAGUGUUUAUAGCCUUGUGCCUCUGCAAUCGGAGAGAUUGAGGUCUGCAGCGUAGAUCCUUCGGGGUUAGAUACAUUUGUGCUAAGUUAUAGCUUUUCAUAGACAACUUGUUGACUAUGUUAAGUCUUGUAGCUUACUCGCUUAUGCUAUUUUACCUACGCUUAGGAUGUUGAUGUGAUACUGCGAGC